rnacentral:rRNA from 1 species
AUUGAACGCUGGCGGCAGGCCUAACACAUGCAAGUCGAGCGGAGCGGCGGACGGGUGCGUAAUUCCUAUGAAUCUGCCUGGUCGUGGUGGAUAACGUCCGCAAACGGGCGCUAAUCCCGCAUACUAUCAGAUGAUCCUAGGUCUGAUUGGCUAGUUGGUGGGGUAAAGGCCUAGCAAGGCGACGAUCCGUACCUGGUCUGAGAGGAUGAUCAGGCACACUGGAACUGAGACACGGUCCAGACUCCUACGGGAGGCAGCAGUGGGGAAUAUGGCACAAUGGGCGCAAGCCUGAUGCAGCCAGGCCGCGUGUAUGAAGAAGGCCUUCGGGUUGUAAAGUACUUUCAGCGGGGAGGCGUUACCCGCAGAAGAAGCACCGGCUAACUCCGUGCCAGCAGCCGCGGUAAUAC